rnacentral:lncRNA from 1 species
GGGACGGACACUAAGAAGGGGAUGUAUUGUCUGCGUGUGUUGCCUUCACACCUUUGAAUUCUAAAGGGAUGGCAGGGGCAGCUAACAGAGAGCAGAGAGGAGGCAUCCGGAAUCCCAUGUGGCACAUUUAUGUCAACUGCAUGUCAAUCAGAUGCAAGUGAAGACUAAGCAGUUCCAGCACGGGAACCUCUGAAAAUCAAGACCACAUCAUCCUGAUGUUUUGGCAUUUUGCCCACUGCCUCAGCAUGUGCUUUUAAAGAGAGCUCUCUAUUGCCGUCUCAUGGUGAAUGAGUGAAUGGCUGGGAUUAGGAGACAAAACUGGCUACCACCACUAAGCAGAUUAAUUGAAGAUGUGGUAUAUAUACACAAUGGAAAACUACUCAGCCAUAAAAAAGAACAAAAUAAUGCCAUUUGCAGCAACAUGGAUGGAACUAGAGACUCUCAUUCUGAGUGAAAAAGAUUCCACAAAGGCAAAGGGGAAGCUUACAUGAAGCAGACCUGAGUUCCUGCUAUUACUUAUGUGCAACAUCAGAAAGAGAAUUCCAUGAUAAGUGUGGACAGUCUCUAAGGUUUGAGGCUCACCAUAUGAAGGAAUGUUUUCCUGGAAAGCUCUUCUUCUCCAGUCUGGCAUUCAUCCUUCUGAAACAUUUACCCUUCUGUCAGCUGGUCCUCUGGCCUAUUAAAACCAGAUCCCAGUGGAUCUAGAAACCUCCCUAAGCUACCUGGGUGAGUGCUGCAGAUUUGAAAGCAAUCUUUUAAUAUAUUCACUUGAUUUUAAAGACAGAAACCUCCCUGGAACAUUUAACCACAGGUACCCACUUUUGCUUUUCUGAGUGGCUGCUCCCUGAACUUCUCUGAAGCUGCUGUUAGAGGUGGUUAGGAUAUAUUUCCAAAGAUUCAAGUUAUGUGCUGGACUAUUAAGUCUUUGAGGUCCCAGAAAAACCACAAAGGAUUGCUGGUGUCAGGACUGAGGGAGAAACAAGCUUUGAAAUAUAGGAGAUGAUAAAAAAGCAAAGCCUCUGCAGGUAUGUCUUCCCAAUCAGAUAAAAAUACAAACCAAAUGGACAAUAAAGGCAGGCUUUGCAAAGCUCUUGCCUGUGGGGUGGAAAAGUUGGGGAGGGGAGGGUCAGCGAAAGGGGGAUAAAAACCCUCCUGGUGCAUUUAAACCUAAAACCCGAUGUUUAAUUAUAGCAUUACCACAAAAUUUUUUCAAGUCCAUGUUGGUGACCAAAAAGGGACACAGGUGGACAUUUUAGAGAACCCUAGAUAUAGAAGCUUUGUUCUCUGUUUAGAAAGUCUCUCAAAACCCUUGGUUCUAAAUCACAGGUUUCAUCUACAUGGCUCAUCAAAAGAUCACAAAUUUCACUUUUUCCUCCAGAAUGCUGGAUGAGAACAUUCAACCAGAAAUAAGGUCACUGGCAAAGUGAUUCAGGGCUUAUUGGAUUCUUAAGGUUGUUUUCCAGGGAUAUUUAUAAGAGAAAUGUAAUUUUUGGAAAGAAAAAUAUGUUGUGAAUUGAUGACAGUUCUUUCUGGCCCCAGAUCUUUAUUAAGGCAAAAGCAUUGCAGCCACACAGAAGAAUCUGAGUCUCAGCUUUAACUUUUUUCACAUAAAAAUGCACCAACCUCAGUAUUCUGUAGAAAGACCUAGAGUUUUUAGUGCCUUUAGUUUUGUGGUUUCCUGAUUUACAUGGGGCUUUGUGCAUAAAUAUGCAGCUCCCCACUUCCUGAAUGAAAAUAGGCUUUCCUAUUUUAUGGGCCUGCAUACAUUGUACUGAAUUUCUCCACAAAGGACAAAAUUUAUGUUGAAGGCUGAUCCAAGGGAAAUUGACCUGAAAAGAUUUCUCCAAAAGUAGCAGAAGUGCCUACUUUAAUCGUAGAUCCUGGUGGAUGAGCUGAGUAGAUAAGUUCAUAAGACAUAUAUUAAUGACAAUAAUAUGAACACUUUUAUUAAAAAUCAAUCAAAUUAGGAAAUUAUAGAUCACAGAGAGCACUAUCCAUUUAUCAUGACUUUUUAUGUAGAAUUUUCUGUUUACCACCACUGAAAAAUUAGUCAUGAUUCAGGACAUCUUCAAAAACAUACUUAAGGAGACAACCCCUAAAUGUUCCAUAGUCUCAGCCUUGCUUUCUAAGUAUGGUUAUCUUAAACACGGAUCUUUCUCAACAGAGUCAGUUAAGAGCAAAUAUGACUUCAUUUUGCCCUACUUCAUGUUUUUUCUCUGGUCUUAUUACAACCCCUUCGCUCUUGGUGAAAAUUUUAUAUCGUCCUUCCUUUCCUUUCAUCAUCCUUCCUACCUUCUUUGCCCUCUUCCUCCUCCUCCCCUUCCUCCUCCACUUCCUUCUCUAAUGCUGCUGUAGAGGAGCUGCUAUCGUAGUAAAAUUCCAGACUAAGAAACUUCUAUCAUUUUAAGUCUCCUUGUGGACUUGUGAUAGAGCUGCAGUGAUAAGGAGGCUAUUAGAGUUGAUUGAUUCAUCAAACAAGAGCUGUGGGCAAAUAUCUGAAAUGAGUAGUGUUGGGAAACAUAAAGCACACCAUCUCCAUCCAGAGAAUUUACAAAACUGUAGGUUGUAAAGGCAGGUAGGAGUUUGGGUUAAUUUUUCAAAAUCCUUCUCGACUUUGUCACUUAGAAAGAGAUACCUCAUCCAACCAUACCCCACAAAGAAGGAGAGUUUAAGGGUUUCAAUAUCUGUUUUUUGUCUAUUUGAAAUUACUUUGUUUCUGAACAAAAACUAUCUUUCAGCAAAUGGGAAUUUCUAUUAAAUUCACUCUAUUCAUAAUGCAUUCAAAAUCUAAUAUAUAAUUUUCCUAAACCAUUUUGGGAGAAAUAUUGAAAACCUCACGUGAUGAUAUGAAAAUAGUAUUUGAAUGAAAACAUCGCUGUGGAAAACUGGUAUGCAUGAGUAUGACAUUUCUCAUUUGACUAUAGUUAACCAUAGAUGCUGUUAAGCUGGGUUUACAUAGUGCACCCAGUGACAGUUUUAAAGUCAGUUGGAUUUCAUGGGUUUGUUUUGUUUUGUUUUGUUUUUAACCAAGUUUGUUUUUUAAGCAAAUUGAUUGGUUAAAGGGUCAGGGUGGUUGUAUGGUUCGUGUAAAACAACUCUAGACCUAUAGUGAGAUUUGGACACAUGAUCCUUACAAUGAUUCGGUAUAACUUUGAUGGCCCUUUUGAUUUCCCUUUACUUUGAGGUUGUUUGUGUUUUUCAUGAACUCUGUAUUGAUGAAGCAACUCAAAAUAUAUUUGCCACAGUAGGAUAGUUUUCCUAACCAACUUACUUUUCCAACACAUUAUUUUUCUUUCAUCUGCUUAAGGAAUUAUAUUGUUUUUAAGGCUAAAUUCUUCAUCCUGACAUUCAAGGCUUUAUGGAACUAUCUCUGAUAAAUGUCUGGGGAGGGAGUUAGGUACUAAGCACUCAUUCUUGUGCCUCGUCUGCCUUAUCUUGUGUGGCAGAGGCUACAAGCCUCAGAACUACAUUUUCAGACCACUUUUUCUCCUUUGUUUUGGAUAGAUUGGCUCUUUACCUAGUAGUCACACUUAUGUAAGAUUUAGAAAGAAGAAGAGAGGCAGAAGUUUUCUGGUACUUUUUCUGACACCAGACCAUGGGCUUAUAGAAAUGAGUUUUCUAACGAUCUCUGUUUUCUUCUGCUAUUCACCUACCACAGGUAUGUGGAGACACUAUCAAGUGUUACUGGUUUUCUGCCAGUUGUAAACUUCUGGACAUGAGUUUCUGACUCUGUCCAGGCCUUUCCAUGAUUUGUAAGUUCUGUACAAUAUAUUCUUUUAUGUUUUAAAUACACAGAAUGGCUUAUGGUUUUCUAACUGAACCCUGACUAUGUAAUAUAAACCCUCAUUUGAUAAAGAUGCCUGAAACCAAAGGCAAAACAUAGACCUACUCUGUGCUUCAGUGGACCCUCUUGUCUCUCCAUAUCUUUAUCCAUUCAAAUUCAUCUGAGUCUGCCUCCAUGCAACAUUUCCACCUACUGAGCUCCCAUUAAAUCCAUAUUUCUUAACUCUUUCAGUGGUAGUAGCCUAUAGAGAACAAUUUUUGAACCUCAGUUUUAAUCCUCUUCUGUAUUGUUCUUUUUAUAAAAUCAUGUUUUUCUUUUUAGUAUCCCCCUUUACAUUGUAAGCUCCAAGAGAACAAGUCUACUUUUAAAUGUUUUUUCUUCUGGUUCCUUGACAGAGGCAACACAGUGUGACAUGCAUAAUGGAAUUACAGAAAAAAAAAAAGAAAGAAAAAAGAAAAAAAA